AGGUUGUUCUUGGAUCAAGUGGAAACGUUAGACAAGAAUCUUAGUAAAAAUGCUAUUUUCGUAUGCUUGUAAUAUGGCCAAAUUCUCUCAAUAAAGUCAAUGUGUUUUUUUACAAAUGAAUAUCUCCUCCCCAUUAUCAUUGUGUCUCUUUCUACUUAUAUGGAACAUAUUUCUAAGGCACGGAGAAUAUCCAUUAGAAUAUUCUCCUUCGUGUCCUAUCCUAAAACUAGUCGUUAUGACCCUGUCUAGGAUGAUCGACCUCGUCCUUGAUCCACGUCGUCUUCUCGACCUUGAUCCUUGCUGACUCUUCAACUGCAACCUUCAUUGCUUCUGGAACUACUUCGACCUUGGGCGGGUCUUUAUUGAAGUCGUAAUGAUAACACAUGGCAGCCUGUGAAUGCCUCUUUAGUGUUAACAUGGUUUGAUCAUAUUAGAGAUAAUUUUUGGCCCAUACAGUUAGUCCCUCCGUUUAUUGAGGUCGUUCUCGUAUGUGAGCUUUGAUGGUAGGCUAGAAUCACAUAUUUUAGUCAUAGUUUACACUCUAAUUACUGUAUUUUACUUGUGUUUGAGCUUAAAUGAUUGUGAAUUGCACGUAAUAUGUGUUUUAUGCAUUGCAUGAAAUGAUUCCGAGCUAUUAAGAUACUUUGGAGCUAAUUUGAACAGGUUAGAGCUUUGAAGUCUGAGUAAAACCCAAAGAAAUUAAGUCGGGAUCACGUUCGGAGGUCGAGCACCAAGUCUGGAUGUCAAAAAAUGAGAAAACAAAAUUACUCUGAGAAAAUUGUACUGCUGCACGCGCUAUGCGUAGCGGGGCGCUAGUGCAAAAUUCUUGCAGAGUGAAAAAAUCAACUCUCUGAAAAUCCUCACUAAUGUGGCGCAAUUUAAGAUAAUCGUCAAUAAGCAUUUUUCUUUUUAUUUUUUCAUUAGUUAACUUGCCUUCAAGAUUUUUUUUGUAGCAUCUGCAAGUUCUAGGGGUGAAAACUACAAGAAAAUAGUCUUGACAUUGAACUCUAAUUGUUGUGAAGAUGGAGUACAACCAGCCUAAGAAAAUGGUUGCAGAAUUAGCAGAUGAACAUUAUCACAAGUCUGCUAAUUGUUGUAAAUGUGGUGGAAAUCAUCUAUGGGUUGACUAUCAAGCAGGAAUAUGCAUGGAUUGAUCCUGUAAAAGAAUGCAGAAACAAGUUGAGAAUGAUCCUACAAGAACAAUCCACUACUCAAAAUGAGGCUAAGAAAGAAAGAAAAGAGCGGGGCUUGCAGAUAUCCUUAGAGGACUUUGGCCUAAUGAGCUCCAUUAAGAAUCCUAAGGAACGAAAACGAGGAAUGAAUUCAGAAUUAGGGGUGGAGUUCAUAAGUUCUCUGAAACGGAAACAAUUCAGGGGAGUUAUUUUUACCUCUUGCUUUUUACUUGUGUGUCAUAGGGAUAUGCCAAAUUUUAAAGUGUGGGGUGGGGAUGUAAAUAUGUAUAUGUGUGUUUGUUUUCGUUUCUUUUGAUUAUAAUAUUAAAUUAUUUUGGCUAGAUUCGAGAUGUUGAGAAGGUUGGGGUUUGGUUCAACAUAAGUGUGGGGUUUGAAUUGUUAAUGUAUAUGUAUUAAGUGCUUAUGGGGUGUAGUCACUAUAUCCAAAUUUAUCCUAUCCAUCCCGUAGCCUACAUUACAACCAAAUUAAGUCCUACUUGAUCUUUGACUAAAUGAGCUCGAAUUAGUAGAGUAUUACACUACGGACAAGCCUACGGUACGUCUUCUAUGGCAUAUGAAUCUUAAUUAUGAGAUUUAGUGAAUUUUGUCUAUCUUGAGUCUUAAUUGCUCUUGAAAUUUAUCGUGUGUGGAACUACUCUCUAUUGUUUGUGUCAGGGUACAUGAUUUGCGAAGGUAGGGUAAAAUCUUUACCUCUGUGUUAAAGUAGGUAAGCAGGUUGCGAAAAAUGCGUGGUGCUUUUGAGUCGAGUCUUGAGGCUAUGAUGUUAUGAUAUGGUGCUUAGUCUGCUUCAAAUAUUCUUGGCAUGAUACGUUAGGGAAGUUGUCUGAUAAAAAGGUUGUCUCUAUGUGAAGUGCAGUUUGAUUGCUCGAGGACGAGCAAUGGUUUAUGUGUGGAAUAUUGAUGGAAAUGAUUCUGAACUAUUAAGAUAAUUUGGAGCUAAUUUAAAUAAGUUGGAGCUUUGAAGUCAGAGUAAAAGCCCAAGAAAUUAGGUCGAUCGCGUUUGUUGGGUCGAGGACCUAGUCUGGAUGUCAAAUGAGAAAAAAAAUUACUCUGAGAAAAUUGCACUACCUUCCUGCGCCAUGCAUAGUGUGGAGCGGGGCGCUAGUGCAAAAUUCCUCCAUAGUGGAGAAAUCAAUUCUCUGAAAAUCUUCACUAAUGUGGCGCAUGGGGCAGCGCAUGGCGCGCUGCGCUAGUGUAUUUUUGCAGUCUAAUUGUCCCAAUUUGGCUUGGAAAAGGUACUUUUAUCCGGGACCGUUCCUACAUGGUAUAAAUAUACCAAAAACACGGAUUUGUAGAGGACUUUUGACAUGGGGGAGCUUUUGGAGAGCAUUGGAGGCUAGAAGACUCAGGAUUUCAUCAUUUUUCUAUCAAUUCAAUAUGGGAGUUUGGAUUGUAAUGUUAGAUUGAUGCUUUCUUAUUCUUUGACUCAUUUUGUGAUGACUUACUCCAUAAUUAUGGAGUAGUUUACCUUAGGGUUUGACAUGAUUUGGUGAUUUGGUUAUUGUUUAUGGAAUUGAUUAUUGUUUAAUUUCUUGAAUUUAUUGGAGGAGCUUUAACUCUA